rnacentral:rRNA from 1 species
AGGGGGCAAGCGUUAUUCGGAAUCAUUGGGCGUAAAGGGCGCGUAGGCGGCUUGGCAAGUCAAAGGUGAAAUCCCUCGGCCCAACCGAGGAACUGCCUUUGAUACUGCCUCGCUUGAGGCCGGGAGAGGGUAGCGGAAUUCCCAGUGUAGCGGUGAAAUGCGUAGAUAUUGGGAGGAACACCAGUGGCGAAGGCGGCUACCUGGACCGGUUCUGACGCUGAUGCGCGAAAGCGUGGGGAGCAAACAGG